UCGACUUCUUUCUUCUCUUCUCCGCUCUCCGCUCAAAAGAAACAGAAAGAAUGAGUGAAAUCGAGAGAAACCAAAAAUCAAACCGAAACCAGAAAUUAAACCAAUAUUCUUCAACUGAUUUAUGAUUUUGUAAACCCAAAAACUCCCUAAUUUACAAAUAAAUUUUUUUGAUUUUGUAAACUGAUUUUUGCUUUUAGUUUGAAACUCUUAGAAGAAGAUUCAAUUGAAGAAGUAGAAACCCUAGAAAUCUCUAUCCUCAGAAGAUGAUUGAAGUAAAAUCCUUGAAGAUUCAGGUUCAAGAGUACAGACUACUACUUUGAUGAACCUGCUAUAAUGGACUUUGAGGCCAAGCAAGUUUUUUAUUCUCAAGAUUUGAAGAAUCCUGAUUGGUCUGUUGUGAUUCACUCACCAAUGGGCAUGACAAGACAUGUGGACGACUUGAUAAAUCCUGAUUUCAAAAAAAAUCAAUCUAUAAUUGUGCAUGAGCCCAACUUGGCUGUGUUACUGGUUCAACGGGUGUAAUUCGCUUCUGAUGUAGAAUGGCCUCAAAUCGAAGCAGUUCUGGUCUGUCUACGUCAACUACUACAUCAUCACAGCAAAAUGUAUCCAGCUCAUCAGCAAAAUCGAAGCUGAUUGUUCAAGUCAAUAUUGCUGGCAAGAUCGAGGAAAUGCGGCAGCAAGAUUCUCUACUAGGGUAGGAGAGCUCAUAAGGAGUCAUAUUCCUAUAUCAUAUAAGGAGUGGAGGUUGGUCCCUGACAAUAUUAAACACGAUGCGUGGAAUGCUUUGAUGGGUGAAUUUUCAUUGACUAUUGAUCCAUCAGUCUGAUGUGGAAUCAUUGAAGUGCAUUUCCACCGUAUUAUAGGCAAUUCAAAUACGAGUUAAGGCAGGCAUUAAAAUGGAUAAUAAAAGCUCUUAGACAAGCAGCUCUUAGAGUAAAACAAGCAGUAAGGGAGAGAGUUGAAAUACCUGAGGCUAAGGAGGAAGAUGAAGCACUUCCAGAACUCACUCUGAAAAUUUGGGAGAGUGUAAGAGCAGAUGUUCCACCAGGGAUUAAUCCAAAUAUCUAGGAGGAAUUUGUUGAUAUGGAGAAAUAUCCUGAAAAGAUAGCAAAGAAUAAGGUGAAUGCAGAAAGCAAGGAGCACUAUCCACCAUACACUCGGGAGGUGCACAUACCACAACAAGAAGCAUAAGAUAGACGAAAUGAGCGAAAAAGUGGUACCACCGCCGACUACAGAGAAGUGGUUAUAUGGACAUUUAAGACGUGACAGCAUUGUCCAUCCUAGUGCACUUGAAGUGCAUGGCAAAGUAUCAGGGGCUCUAGAGAGGAACGAAGGAAAAGAAGAUCAGCCAAGUUCUAGUAAUGUGGUUUCAGCUGAACUAGAGAAGGUGUUCGGAAGAAAACAAAGUGGUGGGAUUUGUACUAAACAAAAUCGAAGCCGAUGUGGGGUUUAUGGGCGGUAAACUGGUUGGUAUUGAAGGUGAAUUGGGGUCCUUAAGCAGCGCAGUGAAGAAGAUGUUGAACUGCAUGAAACGCAAGGCACCUACAUCAUAAGCUCGCGCAGGCACUCCCAGCCCGGAGAAAGGGUCCAAUUCUCACUUGGCUGGUUGGUGGACAUGAAGGAGAGCUACUCAUACAUGGUACUUUUCAGGUCCAAUUCUAUCCCAUACAAGUGUAUAACCAGUUGAGAACGAUCUCCCACAAGUAAGUCGAAAUUUCCACACUUACUACCCAUGUAAAUGAAUUCAUGUUCAUGUGAGAGGUAGACCAUAUGUGAUAGAGGCGGGAAAUAGACAUCUGAGUAUUUGAAUUGAUUGAUAAUAGAAGUUUAAAUAGUAGGUAUAACAUUAUAAGACUGAAUGACUUGGGAACCACCAUUAUGUUGUGCAUUUAUGUAAUUGGGUAUUGCUGUAACUGCAAGAAGAAGUUUGGACAUAGCAACUGGUUGAGGCCAACGAAGAACAAGUAGAUGCAAUCCUGAAAUUUUGGUGGGUGCAGAGUCAGAGAAUUUGUUUUCUAGCAGCUUAAUUGGUGUAAAAGCUAAGCCUUUGAAGCAACGCAAGGCACAACAGAAAGAAUAUGAUGAGACUGACUUGGCAAAGCUUCAGAAGAAGUAAAAGGAAACUUUAUGUUAGGUGGUGCUGGACUAAAGAAAAGUGGAAAGAUCGGAACAAUAUGCUCUAGUAAAGGUAUGAUAACGAGUAUCAAUUAAAAAACAUCAAACACAAAAUUCCACAGAAACUCUUUCUGUAUGUGGAACAAUAAUCCCCAGGGACGGGCCUAGCAAGGGGCUAACCCGGGCUAUAGCCCGUCCCAUGUUUUGGUCGAACAAAAAAAUUUGUAUGCAAAAUUUGGGUGAAUAUGUGUCCAGCCCACCCAAAAUCAGAGUUUGCUAGUGUAGUUUCUAGCCCAAGUAAAUUUUAGCCCAUAACAAGAUAGAUUUAAAAAAGAAUUCAGUUUAAAACAUGAAUCUUCUUCUUCUCACCCUUAGUAGCCAGGAACGUCCAACCACCUCACGAAUCUCAUUCGAAAUCGCGAUUUUGCGUUUCCCACUGAAAUUCGUGAUGGGAACGCGCUCCUGACAUGGAAGAAACGCGCUCCCACUCGUUGAGAAACGUUUCAGUGCAAGGGAAAAAAAAGAAAGGGGAAAAAGCGCAGAGAAAAAGAAAGGGAAGAGGAAAGGGGAAAGAAAGUAUAGUAGAAGAACAGGAAGAAAGAGAGCAAAGAAAAAAGACUGGGAAAAAAAGUACAGAAGAAGCAAGAAAGAAGAAGACGGCUGCGUGAAAAAUAAGAAGAAGAAAAAAAUGUUGUUUUGAAUUAAAACCCUAGAAUUGGCUUGGGUUAUUUUUAAUUAAAAAUGUCUUGUUUUUACCGUGGGCUAAGUUGGAGCCCAUGCUCAAUAUCUUCCCUAUAUUUUCUAUGCACCAAACUAGCUUCCAAAUUCUUGAAGACACAAAAAUAAAAAAGAAAAUGAACGAUAGUGUAGGAAAAUUAGUAGUAUAUCUAAUUUUUCUAUGAACCUAAUUUACGCUCCCGAUAGUGUAGGAAAAUUAGUAGUAUAUCUAAUUUUUCUAUGAACCUAAUUUACGCUCCCGAUACGUUCCA